GUCUGAGCGCCCGGCGGAAAACCGAAGUCAGAAGUCUCUCUUAGCAGCACGCGGAGAAGAACGGGGAGCCAGCAUCAUGGCAGAACAGGAUGUGGAAAACGAUCUUUUGGAUUAUGAUGAAGAGGAAGAGCCCCAGGCUCCUCAAGAGAGCACACCGGCUCCCCCUAAGAAAGACAUCAAGGGAUCCUACGUUUCCAUCCACAGCUCUGGCUUCCGGGACUUUCUGCUGAAGCCGGAGCUCCUGCGGGCCAUCGUGGACUGUGGCUUUGAGCAUCCUUCUGAGGCCCUGCAGGUGUCUGUGGCCUUGUCCGGACUCGGCCUCUUCUGAUUGCCCUCACUGUGGGCCCCCGGUCAACUGGUGAGGAUCCUGCACGGGGGUGCGUCCAGGUUCUCGUCCCUCACGCUCUGCUUCUCCUGCAGUCCAGCAUGAGUGCAUUCCCCAGGCCAUCCUGGGCAUGGACGUCCUGUGCCAGGCCAAGUCCGGGAUGGGCAAGACAGCGGUCUUCGUGCUGGCCACCCUACAGCAGAUUGAGCCUGU
rnacentral:sRNA from 1 species